GCAAAUGACAUCUUGGUGCUCUUGUCACUCAGCUCCUUUGAGGUGCCGAAGUCAGAGAUCUUCACCAGAUCGUCGUGUGUUAUCAGCAUGCUGCAAAGCCACAUCCUCUCCGUGGAACUUGCCGAGGAAGACGGCCCCCUGCGCCCCGCUGCCCACCCACUGCAGGUCUGAGAUUUCCUCAAAAGGAACUUCCCAGGACUCUAAACGCAGACCAACAAGUCAACAACACAAAACUCUCUUCGUUCCCGGAUCGACAGCAUCCACCCUUCUGCUGCUGCUGCUGCUGAUGUGUCCUUGAGCAAGACACACUUGAAUCCCCCGCCGGCUCCAGG